ensembl:snRNA U6 U6 spliceosomal RNA
AUUCUCACUUUGAGAGAACAUAUAAAUUUUUGGAUGAUACAGAGAAGAUUACUAUAGUCCUUGCAGAAAGAUGGCAAGAAAAGUUCUGAUGUAUUCCAUAUUUAA